GGGAUCUGUCGCAAGCCUGCAGCUUCACGUUCUUGUAUCUGUUGCCAUAGUUCAGGCGGCACAGUGAAUGUGUUCAACAGCAGGAAAUUAACCCUGCAAGUAAACCAGGCAGCUGCAUAUGUUGGCAUGAUUGAUGAGAUCUGCUACAGUCAAGCAAGCAGCCCCGGGUGACCAGUUUACCCUUCCCCGCUAGGGUUCCAGCUGCCAGUUGCCCCCAUUCUGUGACAGCUUCUCCUUCUUCUCACCUUGUCAUCAAGCCAAGAUUGUACACUGUAGGAGAACAGAUUGCAGCAUCUUGAGAAUGGUGUAGUGGAAAGAAACUUGACUUUGAAUUUCAGAUGUGAUACUUGCAGCAAUCCGUGACCUUGAGCAUAGGAGCUCUCACCCAGAGAAAAUGCCAGAGUGGAACAGUUGUAGAAGUGUGGGUCUUUGGAGAACAUUACUAUCCUGAGAAACAAACCCUGGGGACUCCUGCCUUGGAUUCAUCAUUAAAUAACUAUAAACUUCCUUCUGUUUUAACUGGUAUCUCAAACCGGGGUACUUGUACCCUAGGAGGGGGACUUGUUCCAAGACAAUCAAAUAGUAUUGUGGUAUAAAUAUUUGGGG